GGAUCCAGACUUUGAUCAUGGCUCAGGACGAACGCUGGCGGCGCGCCUAACACAUGCAAGUCGAGCGGGAAGCUUUUUAAGGAUUCUUCGGAUGAAUUAAAAAGUGGAGAGCGGCGGACGGGUGAGUAACGCGUGAGAAACCUGCCCUAUACAGGGGGAUAGCCAUUGGAAACGAUGAUUAAUACCCCAUAUGACCACAGUAUCGCAUGAUACAGCGGUGAAAACUCCGGUGGUAUAGGAUGGUCUCGCGUCUGAUUAGCUAGUUGGUGGGGUAACGGCCUACCAAGGCGACGAUCAGUGGCCGGCCUGAGAGGGUGACCGGCCACACUGGAACUGAGACACGGUCCAGACUCCUACGGGAGGCAGCAGUGGGGAAUAUUGCACAAUGGGCGAAAGCCUGAUGCAGCGACGCCCCGUGAACGAUGAAGGCUUUCGAGUCGUAAAGUUCUGUUCUUGGGGAAAAAACGACGGUCCCCAGGGAGAAAGCCCCGGCUAAAU
rnacentral:rRNA from 1 species